rnacentral:lncRNA from 1 species
UUCGUUAAAAAGAGGAAGUUCAUGAAGAAAGGAUGGUCGUUCCUAAAGCACAAUAACUGGAGGCGAUCAGAGGAGCAGAGCAUCGGAUCAUUCAGACACUGACACAGCUAGACCCUCAACCAUCGAUUCAAGUCAAUAUUACACGAUGGUAGUAAACAACAGAAUGCAGGACAAGGAGUUCAGGACAUGGAGACAUACGAGUUUCAUCUGGAAGAGGCUGAAGUUACCAUUCGCGUGGAUGACGAACACAAGACCUACUUGAAUGAUGUUGACCUUUUU